UACGAAGGACCCGAGCGUUAUCCGGAUUUAUUGGGUUUAAAGGGUGCGUAGGCGGCUCGAUAAGUCAAAGGUGAAAUCCCUCGGCUCAACUGAGGAACUGCCUUUGAAACUGUCGAGCUCGAGUCCGGGAGGGGGUAGCGGAAUUCCCAGUGUAGCGGUGAAAUGCGUAGAUAUUGGGAGGAACACCAGUGGCGAAAGCGGCUACCUGGACCGGAACUGACGCUGAUGCGCGAAAGCGUGGGUAGCAAACAGG
rnacentral:rRNA from 1 species